rnacentral:ncRNA from 1 species
ACCACACAACGCGGGAGCUCGCGCCAUGGCGGGCUGAGAGGGCGGCUGGCCUCGAGCACAGCGCCGCCGACCGCAUGAACCUGACCGGGUAAUGCCGGCGUAGGGAGGAAAGUCGCGUGACUA